rnacentral:rRNA from 1 species
AUUGAACGCUGGCGGCAGGCCUAACACAUGCAAGUCGAGCGAGUGGCGGACGGGUGAGUAAUGUCUGGGAAACUGCCUGAUGGAGGGGGAUAACUACUGGAAACGGUAGCUAAUACCGCAUACCAUCAGAUGUGCCCAGAUGGGAUUAGCUUGUUGGUGGGGUAACGGCUCACCAGGGCGACGAUCCCUAGCCGGUCUGAGAGGGGGAUCGGCCACACUGGGACUGAGACACGGUCCAGACUCCUACGGGAGGCAGCAGUGGGGAAUAUUGCACAAUGGGCGCAAGCCUGAUGCAGCCAUGCCGCGUGUAUGAAGAAGGCCUUCGGGUUGUAAAGCACUUUCAGCGGGGAGGCGUUACUCGCAGAAGAAGCACCGGCUAAAUCCGUGCCAGCAGCCGCGGUAAUAC